UACGUAGGGGGCAAGCGUUGUCCGGAUUUAUUGGGCGUAAAGAGCUCGUAGGCGGUGUGUCGCGUCGGCCGUGAAAACCUGGGGCUCAACUCUGGGCGUGCGGUCGAUACGGGCAUCACUUGAGUUCGGCAGGGGAGACUGGAAUUCCUGGUGUAGCGGUGAAAUGCGCAGAUAUCAGGAGGAACACCGGUGGCGAAGGCGGGUCUCUGGGCCGAUACUGACGCUGAGGAGCGAAAGCAUGGGGAGCGAACAGG
rnacentral:rRNA from 1 species